UUUUAAUAAAUAAAAUAAAAUUUUUUCUUUCUUCUUUCUAAUAAAGAAAAGAAUAAAUGACUUCCAACUCUAAAGUUCAAACGACAAAUCCCAAUUCUCAAAUCAAGAAAAUUAGGGUUCUUCUCUGCCUCUGUUUAUCGACAAACAAACUCUGAUGGUCUGCUGUAACAAUCUGUCAGACGCCCUCCAAUUGUUCACUGUGUAUGCUCUUUCUCCCUUAUAAGUUAGACUCAUCUUCCUUCUUCAAUUCUUUUUUCUGAUUUUGUGCUUCAGAUUUUUCUCUUAUAUUUUAUUUUUGGUAAUUUAUACAAAAUUUGGUUUUUAAUCUUUGGUUCUAGGGUUGUCCUACAUUUUAACCUCUAUUCAAUUUGUGAAUUUAUGCUUUUGUACUUUCCAAAAGCUCAAACUUGGAAUCCCCAACCAUAUAUCUUGUCUAUCUGACGACUUUUCGAGGCGUAGAUCUCUUAAAAUGGUAUGCAGAUAAAAAGGAAGAUGUGAAAAGUGUGAUAUUAGGAAGAAUAUCCUCCUAAUUUACGUGACCACAUAAGGAGAAAUUAUAUACAUAAUAGACCUUGUCAACCUCGUGAUUUUGCCUUUCUAAAAAGAGAAUUUGGAGGAAUAAUGCGUCAUUUUAAUCCUGAAUGGCUUAAAACUUCAUGUUCUCAAUGGAUAGGAUAUAUCAUUAAACAAGAUGCAACAUUUUGUUUAUGUUGUUACUUGUUUAAAAAUAAGGUUGGAGGAUAUGGGGAAAAAGUAGGUGAUACUUUCACAACGGAUGAUUUUAGAGGUUGAAUAAAGAUUUAGAAAGGCUUAAAUCACAUGUGUGUGAAGUGAGUAGUGUUCAUGAUCGAUGUUUCAAGAUGAUUCUAGAUUUAAUAAACCAAGAACAAUUCAUUUUAACUUCUUUGUACAAGCAAUCUGAGAAAAUUAAAAGUAAACAUCGAGUUUGCUUGAAUGCUUCAAUUGACGUGAUAAGAUAUCUUUUGAAAGAAGGAAUGCCUUUUCGGGGCUUAUAUCUCUUAAAAUGGUAUGCAGAUAAGAAGGAAGAUGUGAAAAAUAUGGUAUUAGAAAAAGCUCCAAAAAAUAACACCAUGACUUCUCGUGAUAUUCAAAAAGAUAUUGUGAGUUCUUGUGCAAAAAAAAAGGGUGAAAGAAAUUAUUGAAGACUUGAAUGAUGAUUUUAUUGGGAUAUUAGUUGAUGAAUCUAAGGAUGUAUUUUCAAAAGGAACAAAUGGUUCUUGUUCUGAGCUAUGUCAACAAGGAAGGUGAACUUAUUGACUGAUUUCUUGGUCUUGUUCAUGUUAAAGGUACAACUGCACCUGCAUUACAAAAAGCAAUAUAUUCGUUACGUUUACAACAUUCAUUGAGUUCAUCUCUAAUACAAGGACAAGGGUAUGAUGGAGCAAGUAUCAUGAAAGGUGAAAUAAACGAUCUUAAAACUUUGAUUCUGAAAGAUAAUCCUUCCGCAUAUUGCAUACAUUGCUUUGCUCAUCUAUUGCAAUUCUCUUGUAGCUGUUGCAAAGAAAGACCGUGAUGUAAAUAAUUUUUUUGACAUUCUUGCUAAUAUUUCAAAUGUUGUUGGAGAUUCUUAUAAACAUAGGGAGAUGCUUGGAGAUGAUCAAGCUGAUUAGAUGGGUUAUAGAACUUGAGCUUCAAAGGCCGGUGAUACACGUUAGGGAUCUCACUUUAAGACAUUACGUAACUUUAUUUCUUUAUUCUCGUCAAUUGUUCCCUACAAAGAAAAUAUCAAGAUACUAUUAGUGUAAUAAAACUUGUUGAUUUAAAAAAGAAGUAGUUACAAACAAUGAGGGAAUCUAAAUGGAAUUCUUUGAUAGAAGAUGUCUCUUAGUUUUGUGAUAAGAAUGAUGUUGUAAUCCCAAAAAUGGAUGAGAAGUAUGUACUUGGAAAGUCGAAACGUAAAAGCUCAACUGUUACAUACUCUCAUCAUUUGUACAUAGAGGUUUUUGUGCUACUAUAGAUUUGCAACUUUCGGAGCUUAAUAGUCGUUUAAGUGAAGUGAAUACUGAGCUGCUUCUUGGUAUGACUAGUUCGAGUCCCGAUGAUGCUUUUGUAAAUUAUAACAAAAAUAAGAUUAUACAUAUUAUCCAAAUGAGUUCACUGCUUCUAACCUUGAAGAUCUUAGUUGUGAGCUUGACAACUAUAUUAACUAUGUGCGAGAAAUGAACAAUGCAUUCUCUAAAUUGAAAGGGCUUGGUGAUUUGUCGAAGAUAUUGGUUAAAAAAAAUAUUCACAAGACACAGGGACUUGUUUAUUUGGUUGUAAAGUUGAGUUUGAUAUUACCUGUGGCUACUACAACGGUCGAAAGGGCUUUUUCAUCAAUGAAGUUUAUUAAAAAUAAUUUGCGAAGCAGGAUUGGUGAUGACUUUUUGAAUGAUUGUUUAACUUGUUAUAUAGAGGAUGAAGUAUUUGAAAGUGUACCUAAUGAUGGUAUCAUUGAUCGUUUUCAAAACAUGACAAGUCAUCGAGUGCAAUUAAAAUGAUAAUGUUUAUAUUCAUGUAUUAUGUUUGUCUUUUAUUACUUUUUAAAUAUAUAUUAAAUAUCAAUACUCAUUUUUUAAUCAAUUUGUUAUUGUAUAUUAGUUUUAGUGAAAAAGUCCUAAAAAUGCCACUUAACUUUCAGAAAUGGUCUAUUCAUGCCUUUCGUUAAAACAAAUGUUCAUUUCAUGCCACUGCCGUUACACACUUGGCCCAUCCAUGCCACUAUUGACUAACAACAGUGGCAUGGAUGUGCCAAAUAAAAAUUGAGCUGUUAGUCAAUAAUGGCAUGGAUGGGCCAAAUGUGUAACGGCGGUGGCAUGAAAUGAACACUUUUUAACGGAUGGCAAGGAUAGACCAUUUCUGAAAGUUCAGUGGCAUUUUAGUCCUUUUCCAUUGUUUUAGGUCAUGAUUUUAUUUUAAAAUUUAGAACUCACACACUUCAAAUCAAAGCUUCGCCUCUACUUGUAACUAGAAGGUUUACUUGGUAAUGAUAAUAUUAGUCGUAGUUCUUAUAAAUUUUUCAAUACUAUCGCUAGUUGUAUAUGUAUACUGUAUACGGAAAAGGCCUAAAAAUGCCACUUAACUUUCAGAAAUGGUUUAUCAAUGCUAUCCGUUAAAAACUUGCUAUUUCCAUGCCACUGCCGUUAAAGAAAUGGCUCCUCUAUGCCAUUAUUGACUAACAACUCAAUUUUUGUUUGGCCCAUCCAUACCAUUAUCGUUAGUCAAUAAUGACAUGAACGAGCUAUUUCUUUAACGACAAUAACAUGAAAUGAGCAUUUUUUUAACGAAUAAUUUGAAUAGAACAUUUCUAAAUGUUAAGUGACAUUUCUAGACAUUUUCUCUAUUAUAUAUGUGAUUUGCAACAACUUUUAUGUUAAAGAAAGUGAUCGAGCACCCACACUCUUAAAAUUUUGAUUCCGUCACUUUAUGCAGAGUUAAAGCUGAAUUUCUCAAUUGUUCCGUCAUAUUUCCACGGAAGCAAGUUGCUGAUUGCAUAUGAGAACUAGUGAGAAGACAAAAAGGACACCAAUCAAACGUAGCUAGAAG
rnacentral:lncRNA from 1 species